ACGCUCGACACCUACGGGAGGCAGCAGUGAGGGAUAUUGGUCAAUGGGGGAAACCCUGAACCAGCAACGCCGCGUGAGGGAUGACGGUCUUCGGAUUGUAAACCUCUGUCCUCUGUGAAGAUAAUGACGGUAGCAGAGGAGGAAGCUCCGGCUAACUACGUACCAGCAGCCGCGGUAAUCUGAGCGGGCUGGCAAGGC
rnacentral:rRNA from 1 species